UUAAGCGACUAAGCGUACACGGUGGAUGCCCUGGCAGUCAGAGGCGAUGAAGGACGUGCUAAUCUGCGAUAAGCGUCGGUAAGGUGAUAUGAACCGUUAUAACCGGCGAUUUCCGAAUGGGGAAACCCAGUGUGUUUCGACACACUAUCAUUAACUGAAUCCAUAGGUUAAUGAGGCGAACCGGGGGAACUGAAACAUCUAAGUACCCCGAGGAAAAGAAAUCAACCGAGAUUCCCCCAGUAGCGGCGAGCGAACGGGGAGCAGCCCAGAGCCUGAAUCAGUAUGUGUGUUAGUGGAAGCGUCUGGAAAGGCGCGCGAUACAGGGUGACAGCCCCGUACACAAAAAUGCACAUGCUGUGAGCUCGAUGAGUAGGGCGGGACACGUGGUAUCCUGUCUGAAUAUGGGGGGACCAUCCUCCAAGGCUAAAUACUCCUGACUGACCGAUAGUGAACCAGUACCGUGAGGGAAAGGCGAAAAGAACCCCGGCGAGGGGAGUGAAAAAGAACCUGAAACCGUGUACGUACAAGCAGUGGGAGCAC
rnacentral:rRNA from 1 species